rnacentral:rRNA from 1 species
AUUGAACGCUGGCGGCAUGCCUUACACAUGCAAGUCGAACGGUAACAGGUCUUCGGAUGCUGACGAGUGGCGAACGGGUGAGUAAUGCAUCGGAACGUGCCCAGUAGUGGGGGAUAGCCCGGCGAAAGCCGGAUUAAUACCGCAUACGACCUGAGGGUGAAAGGGGGGGAUCGCAAGACCUCUCGCUAUUGGAGCGGCCGAUGUCAGAUUAGCUAGUUGGGGGGGUAAAGGCCUACCAAGGCAACGAUCUGUAGUUGGUCUGAGAGGACGACCAGCCACACUGGGACUGAGACACGGCCAAGACUCCUACGGGAGGCAGCAGUGGGGAAUUUUGGACAAUGGGCGCAAGCCUGAUCCAGCAAUGCCGCGUGAAGGAAGAAGGCCUUCGGGUUGUAAACUGCUUUUGUCAGGGAAGAAAUCUUCUGGGUUAAUACCUCGGGAGGAUGACGGUACCUGAAGAAUAAGCACCGGCUAACUACGUGUCAGCCGCCGCCGUAACAC